rnacentral:misc_RNA from 1 species
GUAUUUUCAUCAAUAUCAUUAAGGAUCUUGCUCUUACUAGUGUGGAACUCUUGAAGGAUCGAGAUGCUACUCAGACAAAUCUGACUCUCCUUGCUAGUUUUGCUCGACAAGGGAGAGUUUUCCUAGGACUGCCUCUGUCUGGACAAGAAAUUCAUGAAGAGUUUUUCAAGGGCCUUAAUAUCACAGCAGAUCAGAAGAAAAUAUUCAAGAAA